CAAGGAGUCUAGCAUGUAUGCGAGUCAUUGAGAUAAUAAAACUGAAAGGCGCAACGAAAGUGAAGGCGCGCGCUUGCCGCGCGCUCAGGGAGGAUGGAGGUCGAUCUCGGUCGAUCUCUCGCACUCCCGAGGCGUCUCGUUUCCAAUCUGUGAAUGUAGGCGCGCUCUGAGCAUAAAUGCUGGGACCCGAAAGAUGGUGAACUAUGCCUGG
rnacentral:rRNA from 1 species